rnacentral:tRNA from 1 species
CGGGGCGUGGCGCAGUCUGGUAGCGCAUUCGACUGGGGGUCGAAAGGUCGUAGGUUCAAGUCCUACCGCCCCGACCA